rnacentral:misc_RNA from 1 species
UGAAGCAGCUCGCAAGCGUGCAGAAGAUAUAGCUGCAGGAGUAAUACCGAUGAAUGGUCGUGAGCUUUUCCUCCGAGAACCAUGGGUAUUCGAUAAUGCUCAGUACUGAGAACUCAUGAUUUCUGACCGUCUCCUACUCUCUGUGCUCCUGUUUUGUUUCGUCGUUAGCGUAGUACUAUAUCCAAUGGAAACUGCAAAGUUCAUGGAAAACUGUCAUAAGAUCUAGUAAAAUGACUCUAAAUUAGCACAAGGGGUGAUAAAUUCUUAUAUUGUCAGCAGAGAUUUCAUUUUAAUAUGUCG